UUUUUUUUUUUUUUUUUUUUUUUUUUUUUUUUUUUGUUAUUAAAAAGCAAUAUUUAUACAAUUUAUAAAAAAAAAAAAAAAAAAAAAUAGCAGAAAUAAAAAUAUCACUUGAAAUAACCAGCACCUUUUCAUAUAUAAAAUAGAUAAAUACAUAUUUAUGUGUAGAUAUUUUUUUUUUUUCCACUUUGGCUAAACCUUUUUUUAGUAUUUAAUUUUAAAAAAAAAAUUACAUCAAGUACGGUUGAGUUUUAUAGGUACAUACAAAGAUAAAUAUAUAUAUUAAAUAAAAAAAAAAAAAAAAAAAAAGCCAUUUUGUGUGAUUUGUUUUAUUGAGUGUGACAUUAGAAUUUGUCAUAACGUUACAAUUUUUUUUUUUUUUUUUUCUGUAUUUCCACUCUUAUAUUUUUAAUAAAAAUUUUUAUGAGCUUUAUGAGGCCCUUAAUCUUAGUUUUUGUACAAUUUUAAGUAUAUACUUAAAAAAUAAAAGAUUGUAUAUGUAUAUAUAUAUAUAUAUAUAAAAGCAUAUGAAUAUAUAUAUAUAUAUAUAUAUAUAUAUAUAUGUAUACAUACAUAUAUAUUAACAUAUAUUAUAAAAAAUGAAUUAAGCCUCAAAGUAACAUUAAAACAUAUUUAAAAAAAAAUGUCUUUACAUAAAGAAAUUUGUAAAUAUAUUAUAAAAUCGGGAUCAAAACCCAUACAAAAAUUUGAAUUUAUACCAAGGAACAGAAAAACAAACACGUUAAAAGAAUUGUAUAAUAAAUAUAUCUUCCCAUAUUUUUUUAAAUUUAUUCGAGCCCCUUAUGAGAGAUGGCAAUUUUGUGCAACCGCAAAAUUUUUGAGAGAUCAUGGUUUAAUGUAUGACGACAUGUACAGUGAUAAAGAUCCAGUUAUAGAAAGAGCAAUUUCUUUAUUGCCUAAAGAUAUACAAAUAAAAAGAUACAGAAGAAUGUUGAGAGGUACUCAUAUUAAUUAUUUAAGAUUAUAUUUACAUCCCUCUGAACAAAACUAUGACCCUUUUAUACCAUACUUAGCUCCAUACAUUGAAGAAGCUAAAUUUCAAUUACAAGAGGAAGAAGAGCUAUUAGGUUAUCACCCAUAUGAUAGAAGAUUAUAUAGUGGCGGUACGACAGGAUUUGGAGAUUUAGAACCAGGAAAGCAUUUCCUUGUUUCCAUUCCUAACCUUUAUGGAGCAGCCAUACCACAUUCAGCAAAAAAAUAAAAUGUUCAACACACUCUUAUAUUUUAAUUUAAUUUUUUUUUUUUUUUUUUAUGUAUAUAUUUUACGUACAUACUGUUGUAGUAUAUGUACGUACAUAGCAUAAUAUAUGUAUAUUCGAAAUUUUUCUAUUAACAAAAUUUGCUAACUCUUUCACCGUUAAUAUAUAUGUAUAUAUAUAUAUGAAAUAUUGCUGAAACUUAUAAUUUGGUUUAUUUUUAUUUUUUUGCAAAAAAAAAAAAAAAAAAUAUAUAUAUAAUAUAAAAAGUUAAAAAUAAUGGUACAUAUAUAGUAUGUCUAUAAAAUAUAUGUACCCACCCUUACGUACAUGUAUGUUUUUAAAUGCACGUUUUAAAUUAUUAGGCAAUUAAACAGAAAAAAAACAAAAAAAAACAAAAAAAAACAAAAUAUUUAAAUGUUUAAUAUAUUUUAGAUAAUUUGUUAAAAUUACAGAGUUAAUUGCUAAUAAUUUUAUGAAUAUCAAAUAAUAUUAAAAAACAGCAAUUUUUUUUAAAUCUUAACAAAAAGUAUAAUAGAAAAACAUAAAACAACAGAUAGAAGCUAAUGGUGCUUAAUAAAAAAAAAAAAAAAAAAAAAAAUGAAAGAAUG
ensembl:lncRNA